ncrna:unclassified sequences Glutamine riboswitch
AUCGUUCAACCUUUUUUAAAGGUCGGAAGUAAGCACUAGCUGAAGGAACGCGCA